GAAGUGCGAUAAGUAAUGUAAAGUGCAGAGCAUGUGAGUCAUCGAAACCUUGAACACAGAACAUCCUAGGGUCUCCCUAGGAUUCAUCUAGUUGAGUAUCGAUAUUUAUUAUCCUACCUUAUAAAGGUGUUUUGGCGGUGCAGUUUGCUCCGCUUAAAUUCAUAUCAAGAUAAGCUUUUAUGAAGCCCUAAACCAUUUAUGGAUUUUGGCAACAUGAUAGACUGUUCUUGUUAGGCAAAAACUACUUUGGGCAAAUCCUUCUCUAGCCGAGCUUAGGCAAGGCCACAAGGAAAUCCCAAUUUAAAAAUUGGAUCUCAACUAGAUGCGAUUACCCGCUGAAUUUAA
rnacentral:misc_RNA from 1 species